rnacentral:rRNA from 1 species
CUUAACACAUGCAAGUCGAACGAGAAACCUCGAGCUUGCUCGAGGGAGUAAAGUGGCGCACGGGUGAGUAACACGUGGAUAACCUACCCCCGAAUCUGGGAUAACUUCGCGAAAGCGUUGCUAAUACCGGAUAUUGUCCUAUUGGUUGUGACCUUUGCGAUGAAAGGCAACCUCUUCAUGAAAGUUGUCGUUCAGGGAUGGGCCCGCGUACCAUUAGCUUGUUGGUGGGGUAACGGCUCACCAAGGCUACGAUGGUUAGCUGGUCUGAGAGGAUGAUCAGCCACACUGGAACUGAAACACGGUCCAGACUCCUACGGGAGGCAGCAGUGGGGAAUUUUGCGCAAUGGGGGAAACCCUGACGCAGCAACGCCGCGUGAGUGAAGAAGGCUUUCGGGUCGUAAAGCUCUGUCAAGUGGGAAAAAAGUCUGAUGAUUAAUAGUUGUCAGAUUUGAUGGUACCACUGGAGGAAGCACCGGCUAACUCCGUGCCAGCAGCCGCGGUAAUACGGAGGGUGCAAGCGUUGUUCGGAAUUACUGGGCGUAAAGGGCGUGCAGGCGGGUUGGUAAGUCAGAUGUGAAAGCCCUGGGCUCAACCCAGGAAGUGCAUUUGAAACUGCCAUCCUAGAGUAUGGGAGAGGAGAGUGGAAUUCCCAAUGUAGAGGUGAAAUUCGUAGAUAUUGGGAGGAACACCCGUGGCGAAGGCGACUCUCUGGACCAAUACUGACGCUGAGACGCGAAAGCGUGGGGAGCAAACAGGAUUAGAUACCCUGGUAGUCCACGCUGUAAACGAUGAGAACUAGGUGUAGCGGGUAUUGACCCCUGCUGUGCCGAAGUUAACGCAUUAAGUUCUCCGCCUGGGGAGUACGG